rnacentral:lncRNA from 1 species
UUUUUUUACCUUAUUUUGUUUUCUAAUUUUAUUUUUAUAUAUUCUAUCCUCCUCCCUUCUAUUUCUUCUCACUUUCUCUUUUCUAAUCUUACAUCUCUCUCUUAUUCAAAGCUAAAAAAAUUUACUUGUUCUAUUGAUAAUUUAUAUUUUAAAUUUGGAGAAAACUAUAUUGCAGCAGCCCGAUUCAUUUUCGGAAAUCAAGUCUUCAUAGCUUUUGAAUUUGGUAAUAUCAUUCUAAUUUCUAAUAUUAUUUUUGUUUUGUGUCUUAUGUUUAUUAUAUUUUUUAUUUGAUAUUGUAAAUAGUGUUUAAAAUAUUUGUUAGAUUUUAAUAUGUCAACUAGAAAAUAUGAAUCCGGUCAUUCAAAACUUAAAAGAAAAAGAAAAGUCGAUAACUUGAUAAAAUCUCAAAAAGGUGCUCUUGAUAAAUUUUUGGAAAACAAUGAUAAUAUUAAAUCAAAAAAGGUAGGGGAAUGCUCUUUAGAAGAACAAGUUACAAACUUAGUUGAAGUUGAGUUAGAUAAUGAUAUAAACCAAAAAGAAGAAGAAGGAGAGGAAAUUAGUGAAAAGUCGGAUGUAGAUUCCCAAGAAAAUCAAGAACUUAUAAAUGAAUUAAAUAAUCAUACUCCUAAAAAUAUCUAUGAUCCUAGUCAAUGGAAUAUUGUUGAUACAAAGUUAAGAGACUUN